ACGGAAGGCAGCAGUAGGGAAUAUUGCACAAUGGGCGAAAGCCUGAUGCAGCGACGCCGCGUGAGUGAAGAAGUAUCUCGGUAUGUAAAGCUCUAUCAGCAGGGAAGAAAAUGACGGUACCUGACUAAGAAGCCCCGGCUAACUACGUGCCAGCAGCCGCGGUAAUACGUAGGGGGCAAGCGUUAUCCGGAUUUACUGGGUGUAAAGGGAGCGUAGACGGUUUGGCAAGUCUGAAGUGAAAUGCGGGGGCUCAACUCCUGAACUGCUUUGGAAACUGUCGAACUAGAGUGCAGGAGAGGUAAGUGGAAUUCCUAGUGUAGCGGUGAAAUGCGUAGAUAUUAGGAGGAACACCAGUGGCGAAGGCGGCUUACUGGACUGUAACUGACGUUGAGGCUCGAAAGCGUGGGGAGCAAACAGGAUUAGAUACCCUGGUA
rnacentral:rRNA from 1 species